rnacentral:piRNA from 1 species
UCAGUAAUAGUGUCAGGCCUCUCUUUCUU